UACGGAGGGUGCGAGCGUUGUCCGGAAUCAUUGGGCGUAAAGGGCGCGUAGGCGGCCAUGCGUGUCUUCCGUGAAAUCCCUCGGCUUAACUGAGGACGUGCGGAAGAAACUGCAAGGCUCGAGUCCGGGAGAGGGGGGUGGAAUUCCCAGUGUAGCGGUGAAAUGCGUAGAUAUUGGGAGGAACACCGGUGGCGAAGGCGGCCCCCUGGACCGGUACUGACGCUGAGGCGCGAAAGCGUGGGUAGCAAACGGG
rnacentral:rRNA from 1 species